rnacentral:rRNA from 1 species
CCUACGGGAGGCAGCAGUGGGGAAUUUUCCGCAAUGGGCGAAAGCCUGACGGAGCAAUACCGCGUGAGGGAGGAAGGCUCUUGGGUUGUAAACCUCUUUUGUCAGGGAAGAAGAUCUGACGGUACCUGACGAAUCAGCAUCGGCUAACUCCGUGCCAGCAGCCGCGGUAAUACGGGGGAUGCAAGCGUUAUCCGGAAUUAUUGGGCGUAAAGCGUCCGCAGGUGGUUGUUCAAGUCUGCUGUUAAAGCAUGGGGCUUAACUCCAUAUAGGCAGUGGAAACUGGACGACUAGAGUACGGUAGGGGUCGCGGGAAUUCCCAGUGUAGCGGUGAAAUGCGUAGAUAUUGGGAAGAACACCAGUGGCGAAAGCGCGCGGCUGGACCUGUACUGACACUGAGGGACGAAAGCUAGGGGAGCGAAAGGGAUUAGAUACCCCUGUAGUCCUAGCUGUAAACGAUGGAUACUAGGUGUUGCCCGUAUCGACCCGGGCAGUGCCGUAGCUAACGCGUUAAGUAUCCCGCCUGGGGAGUACGCACGCAAGUGUGAAACUCAAAGGAAUUGACGG